rnacentral:misc_RNA from 1 species
GAAAUGCGAUAAGUAAUGUGAAUUGCAGAAUUCAGUCAAUCAUCGAAUCUUUGAACGCACAUUGCGCCCGCCAGUAUUCUGGCGGGCAUGCCUGUUCGAGCGUCAUUUCAACCAUCAAGCCCCCGGCUUGUGUUGGGGACCUGCGGCUGCCCGCAGGCCCUGAAAAACAGUGGCGGGCUCGCUGUCACACCGAGCGUAGUAGCAUACAUUCUCGCUCAGGGCGUGCUGCGGGUUCCGGCCGUUAAACGACCUUCAUAACCCAAGGUUGACCUCGGAUCAGGUAGGAAGACCCGCUGAACUUAAGC